AUUGAACGCUGGCGGCAGGCCUAACACAUGCAAGUCGAACGAGUGGCGGACGGGUGAGUAAUGUCUGGGAAACUGCCUGAUGGAGGGGGAUAACUACUGGAAACGGUAGCUAAUACCGCAUACCAUCAGAUGUGCCCAGAUGGGAUUAGCUUGUUGGUGGGGUAACGGCUCACCAAGGCGACGAUCCCUAGCUGGUCUGAGAGGAGGACCGGCCACACGGGAACUGAGACACGGUCCAGACUCCUACGGGAGGCAGCAGUGGGGAAUGUUGGACAAUGGACGCAAGCCUGAUGGAGCAAGGCCGCGUGUAUGAAGAAGGCCUUCGGGUCGUAAAGUUCUUUCGGCGGGGAGGCGGUACCCACAAAGGAAGCACCGGCUAACUCCGUGCCAGCCGCCGCGGUAAUUC
rnacentral:rRNA from 1 species